AAAGAAACUAACAAGGAUUCCCCUAGUAACGGCGAGUGAAGCGGGAUGAGCUCAAAUUUAAAAUCUGGCGGCCUCAGGUCGUCCGAGUUGUAGUCUAGAGAAUCGUUUUCCGCGUUGGCCUGUGUACAAGUCCCUUGGAACAGGGCGUCAUAGAGGGUGAGAAUCCCGUCCUUGACACAGAUUACCAAUGCUUUGUGAUGCGAUCUCGAAGAGUCGAGUUGUUUGGGAAUGCAGCUCAAAAUGGGUGGUAAAUUCCAUCUAAAGCUAAAUAUUGGCGAGAGACCGAUAGCGAACAAGUACCGUGAGGGAAAGAUGAAAAGCACUUUGGAAAGAGAGUUAAACAGUACGUGAAAUUGUUAAAAGGGAAACGAUUGAAGUCAGUCAUGCUUUCCGAGACUCAGCCGAUUCUGUCGGUGUACUUCUCGGUUGGCAGGCCAGCAUCAGUUUCGAUCUGUGGAAAAGGUUGGAGGGAACGUGGCAUCUUCGGAUGUGUUAUAGCCCUUCUUCGAAUACAUAGAGCGGGACUGAGGAACGCAGCGCGCCUUUUAUUAGGUUGACCCU
rnacentral:rRNA from 1 species